rnacentral:rRNA from 1 species
GUGAGGAAUAUUGGUCAAUGGACGGAAGUCUGAACCAGCCAUGCCGCGUGAAGGAUGAAGGCGUUCUGCGUUGUAAACUUCUUUUAUCAGAGAAGAAACCACUGAUUUCUAUUAGUGUUGACGGUAUCUGAUGAAUAAGCACCGGCUAACUCCGUGCCAGCAGCCGCGGUAAUACGGAGGGUGCAAGCGUUAUCCGGAUUUACUGGGUUUAAAGGGUGUGUAGGCGGGCUUGUAAGUCAGGGGUGAAAUCCUACAGCUUAACUGUAGAACUGCCUUUGAUACUAUAGGUCUUGAAUAUUGUUGAGGUGGGCGGAAUACAUCAUGUAGCGGUGAAAUGCUUAGAUAUGAUGUAGAACACCGAUUGCGAAGGCAGCUCACUAAGCAAAUAUUGACGCUGAGGCACGAAAGCGUGGGGAUCAAACAGGAUUAGAAACCCUGGUAGUCC